ACUGAGCAUACCAAACACCUUGAAUUUUAACAUCUUUAGGGACUUUUGCACCCAAAUCAGUAUCGGAGGGCUGAAUGCUCUCAAACACUCCGAUCACUUCACCGGUGUCAGGUUUGGUUGAGGUGACACUCAAAGUGAUCUUCCCUGUUGACGCUGCAACAUUCUUUACAUUUUCUUUGGAAAGCUCCUCUUCAUCUCCUCUCCCACCCGCCGGUAAAGCAACGGCGUUGUCAUACCCGGUGGAACCACCUCUUCCCUUUGGGUCGAGAAACGAAGACCCUCUGUACGACGGGACUAGAAAUUCCCCACCGAAGCUUUCCGGUUUACCGGAGGCGACAAGUUGUUUGAUCGUGAACAGGAAUGGCACACGCUCACCUCCAGGAAGCUGAACAGUGACGGCAGCAUAGUCGAUUCCGUCUUUCUCUUCGAAUUUGAUGGUGCCAUCGGAGGAUACUU
rnacentral:lncRNA from 1 species